UAAUGUCUGGGGAAACUGCCUGAUGGGANGGGGGAUAACUACUGGAAACGGUAGCUUAUACCGUAUAACGUCCCAAGACCAAAGAAGGGGACCUUCGGGCCUCUUGCCAUCAGAUGUGCCCAGAUGGGAUUAGCUAGUAAGUGGGGUAAUGGCUCNCCUAAGCGACGAUCCCUAGCUGGUCUGAGAGGAUGACCAGCCACACUGGGAACUGAGACACGGUCCAGACUCCUACGGGAGGCAGCAGUGGGGAAUAUUGCACAAUGGGCGCAAGCCUGAUGUAACCCAUGCC
rnacentral:rRNA from 1 species